rnacentral:tRNA from 1 species
GGGGUUGUGGCUCAGUGGUAACGAGCGCUUGUCUAGUAUGCGUGAGGCCCUGGGUUCAAUUCUCAGCACCA